AAUGAACGCUGGCGGCAGGCUUAACACAUGCAAGUCGAGCGCACCGACAGGUGAGCGGCAGCCGGGUGAGUAACGCGUGGGAAUCUACUCACACCUACGGAAUAACCCUGGGAAACUUGGACUAAUACCGUAUACGCCAGUUUGGGGAAGGACUUAUCGUGGAUGGAUGAGCUCGAGAGGGAUAAGCUAGCUGGUAGGGUCAUGGCCUAGCAUGGCGACGAUACACACAAGGUCUGAGAGGAUCGUCCGCCACAGUUGGACUGAGAAACGGCACUAACUCUUACGGGAGGCAGCAGUGGGGAACAGUGGAAAAUGGGCUCAAUGCUGAUCCAGCCAUGCCCGUAGAACGAUGAAAUCCUUAGAGUUGAAAUGCUCAUGCAGUAGUGAAGAUAAUGACGGUACCUACAGAAAAAGCCCCGGCUAACUUCGUG
rnacentral:rRNA from 1 species